UACACAUGCAAGUCGAGGGGCAGCAUUGGAGUAGCAAUACUUCAGAUGGCGACCGGCGCACGGGUGAGUAACACGUAUCCAACCUGCCGCUUACUCGGGGAUAGCCUUUCGAAAGAAAGAUUAAUACCCGAUGGUAUAAAGAGUUCGCAUGUUCUCUUUAUUAAAGAAUUUCGGUAAGCGAUGGGGAUGCGUUCCAUUAGAUAGUUGGCGGGGUAACGGCCCACCAAGUCUACGAUGGAUAGGGGUUCUGAGAGGAAGGUCCCCCACAUUGGAACUGAGACACGGUCCAAACUCCUACGGGAGGCAGCAGUGAGGAAUAUUGGUCAAUGGACGAGAGUCUGAACCAGCCAAGUAGCGUGAAGGAUGACUGCCCUAUGGGUUGUAAACUUCUUUUAUAAGGGAAUAAAGUGAGGGACGUGUCCCUUUUUGUAUGUACCUUAUGAAUAAGGAUCGGCUAACUCCGUGCCAGCAGCCGCGGUAAUACGGAGGAUCCAAGCGUUAUCCGGAUUUAUUGGGUUUAAAGGGAGCGUAGGUUGACAUAUAAGUCAGCUGUGAAAGUUUACGGCUCAACCGUGAAAUUGCAGUUGAUACUGUAUGUCUUGAGUGUACAAGAGGUGGGCGGAAUUCGUGGUGUAGCGGUGAAAUGCUUAGAUAUCACGAAGAACUCCAAUUGCGAAGGCAGCUCACUGGGGUACAACUGACACUGAGGCUCGAAAGUGUGGGUAUCAAACAGGAUUAGAUACCCUGGUAGUCCACACAGUAAACGAUGAAUACUCGCUGUUUGCGAUAUACAGUAAGCGGCCAAGCGAAAGCAUUAAGUA
rnacentral:rRNA from 1 species